rnacentral:rRNA from 1 species
UGGGGAAUAUUGGACAAUGGGCGAAAGCCUGAUCCAGCCAUGCCGCGUGAGUGACGAAGGCCUUAGGGUUGUAAAACUCUUUCGUCGGGGACGAUAAUGACGGUACCCGAAGAAGAAGCUCCGGCUAACUUCGUGCCAGCAGCCGCGGUAAUACGAAGGGAGCUAGCGUUGUUCGGAAUCACUGGGCGUAAAGCGCACGUAGGCGGAUAGUUAAGUCAGGGGUGAAAUCCUGGGGCUCAACCCCAGAACUGCCUUUGAUACUGGCUGUCUCGAGGUCGAGAGAGGUUGGUGGAAUUCCUAGUGUAGAGGUGAAAUUCGUAGAUAUUGGGAAGAACACCAGUGGCGAAGGCGGCUAACUGGUCCGGUACUGACGCUGAGGUGCGAAAGCGUGGGGAGCAAACAGGAUUAGAUACCCCCGUAGUCCCUGAGCGGGCUGGCAAGGCGCAU